UCUAAAGGCUCUGACACACUAACCCGAUAAUCGGCCGUUGGACGCAAAUGAUGAACCUGAUUGGUGGAGAGCUAACCCGGAAACGAGGAGCGGGAUGAGCGUGACUAGAGGCUCUCAAAAUCUGACGUAAAUCAUUUAAACUGACCUCUGUGGAUC